CCUACGGGCGGCAGCAGUGAGGAAGAUGGGUCAAUGGGCGGGAGCCGGAACAAGCCAAGCCGCGGGAGGGAAGAAGGUACAGCGUAUAGUAAACCUCGUUUGUCAGGGAACAAAGGCGGGGACUAGUCCCCGGAUGAGGGUACCUGAAGAAAAAGCAUCGGCUAACUCCGUGCCAGCAGCCGCGGUAAUACGGAGGAUGCGAGCGUUAUCCGGAUGUAUUGGGUUAAAAGGGUGCGCAGUGGGCCUGUUAAGUCAGCGGUAAAAGCCCGGGGCUCAACCCCGGCGGGCCGUUGAAACUGGCGGGCUGGAGUUGGGGCGACGUACGCGGAAUGCGCGGUGUAGCGGUGAAAUGCUUAGCUAUCGCGCACAACCCCGAUUGCGAAGGCAGCGCACCGGCUCCACACUGACGCUGAGGCACGAACGCGUGGGUAUCGACCAGGAUUCGAUACCCUAGUAGUC
rnacentral:rRNA from 1 species